GUGUUGGUGCGUUGGAUCCCUGCUCAGGCAGCGACAACGUCCCACGCAAGUCUCUUCAGUUGUUGGCCCGAGCAUGUCUCGUCCGUUGUCGGUUUCUUGUGCUGAAUACCUACUGGGAAGGCAUUCUUCAGUUGCGAAUGAUAAGAUUCCGCCUAGUGUCGCGUCCCUUGUGGAUGCGGUGUUGGGUGGACCUCAGAGCAURCUUCGUGUCCCUCGUCCCUGCACAUCUUUGUGCUCGGGUUGUUGGCCCAUGUUGCCGUGCGCGAUCUCUCGGAUAUGGAACAUUGUGCGGGCACGAGGUCUCGACCUCUAUCUUGCCCAAACAACAAGCGUUCUACGCUUCGUGCGAACGACUGCCGCAAACGUUUUGGACGGGCCCUUGUGGCUUGG
rnacentral:misc_RNA from 1 species